AACGCAAUAUGUGGAAUAUGUG
rnacentral:siRNA from 1 species